CACAGUUGGAUUCCAAAGCGGAACGGAGAUGUUACGCGAUAUAUAUGUCGUUUAGAAAUCCUUUUCCCAAGUCAAGUUUGACAAGCACUCUGCACACCUGAAGAAAAUGAGUAUCUACUAAGCUGAGGUAGGUGCUGAAUAUUUUGAAGGCCCAUUCCUUUUAGUCUUGAUCCCUUUUCUACUCAUGUUUGUUAUGCCAAAAAAAAAAAAAAAAAAAAUGCAGUAAGUUGAUGUAAGAAAACAUGCAUCACAGUAUAGUUACAAGUGUCCUGCAAAUAAGGGUUCUAGUUUUGUUGACUGAGCACAGAUUAUUUCAAAGCUCAGUAUGCUUAUUUAGACAAAUGAGCAAUACUUUUAUUUAAAUAAU